GAGGGUGUAGCUCAGUGGUAGAGUGUGCGCUCAGCAUGAGGAAGGUCCUGGGUUCAAUCCCCAGUACCUCCA
rnacentral:tRNA from 1 species